AAUAAGUCGCGCUUUCUUCCUCAAACUUGGCGAACUUGGAGGGAGCUUGUCCCCAGAGAGGAGGAUGUGGUGAGCCCCGGAGAGGAGACGGUGGAGGCCCUGCUGGGCCUGGUCCGCAGCCGCCACUCCCCCUGGGCUCUGCUGAACAACUCGAAUGCAGAAGACAGUUUCCUGAGAGAAUUGGCCAUCCGGAACCCGCUGACGAUCACAGACACCUUCUUCUACUCCUACUUCCGGUCCCUGCGGGUAAUAGACAAGAAGGUCACCCUGGUGGAUAAAGACCUCCUGAAAUUUCUAAAGCUGGAGGAGUUGGUACUGAGCGCCAAUCGAAUCAAGGAGGUGGAUGCCACCAAUCUGCCCCCCACACUCAAGGAGCCCUUUUGGCCUCCCAGAGACGCAUUCCUAUGGGUUGAGAAGGUGCCAGAUGUUAUGCAGCUCCCCCACUGCCAAUCCAGCAUCACCCCCCAUUCCA
rnacentral:lncRNA from 1 species